UGAGGAAUAUUGGUCAAUGGGCGAGAGCCUGAACCAGCCAUGUCGCGUGAAGGAAGAAUGUCCUAUGGAUUGUAAACUUCUUUUAUACAGGAAUAAAGUGUACUACGUGUAGUAUUUUGUAUGUACUGUAUGAAUAAGGAUCGGCUAACUCCGUGCCAGCAGCCGCGGUAAUACGGAGGAUCCGAGCGUUAUCCGGAUUUAUUGGGUUUAAAGGGUGCGUAGGCGGGCUGAUAAGUCAGUGGUGAAAGUUUGCAGCUUAACUGUAAAAUUGCCAUUGAAACUGUUAGUCUUGAGUACAGUAGAGGUAGGCGGAAUGUGUAGUGUAGCGGUGAAAUGCAUAGAUAUUACACAGAACACCAAUUGCGUAGGCAGCUUACUGGAGUGUCACUGACGCUGAGGCACGAUAGCGUGGGGAUCAAACA
rnacentral:rRNA from 2 species